rnacentral:misc_RNA from 1 species
UGGGCUUGACAUGUACCGAAAAGCCGUAGAGAUACGGUGUCCUUCGGGGCGGUAUACAGGUGGUGCAUGGUUGUCGUCAGCUCGUGUCGUGAGAUGUUGGGUUAAGUCCCGCAACGAGCGCAACCCUUGUCCUAUGUUGCCAGCACGUAAUGGUGGGGACUCGUAGGAGACUGCCGGGGUCAACUCGGAGGAAGGUGGGGAUGACGUUUACGUGCACUU